rnacentral:lncRNA from 12 species
CGGAAACAAAUUCUCUUUCAAAUGAUUCGAUGAACACAUUCACAUUCUCCCUGCGUUGCUCCACCAGAAAGUUUUGGGUUUCACUGCUGAAUGUUUAAGGUUCACGUCCUGGAGAACAGGAGAGCCAUAUGACCUGCCCUAGUAUCCGCAGAUUCUCAUCAUGAUGGAAAACUGAUCUAUUUGGGCUUGCAAGAAAUUCCCUCCAUAAGCAGACAUGUCUCCCCAGUGGAUCUCCCUUCUUUAUUGAAAUGACUUCUCCAUGCAAAUUAAAUCCCUUUGGAAGCGGUGAGUCUUCUACCUGGAACUCUCUGCUUUAUUUAUAUGUGGUAAC